ACCCUGCCUUCGGGCGGGGGCUCCGGGUGGACACUUCAAACUCUUGCGUAACUUUGCAGUCUGAGUAAACUUAAUUAAUAAAUUAAAACUUUUAACAACGGAUCUCUUGGUUCUGGCAUCGAUGAAGAACGCAGCGAAAUGCGAUAAGUAAUGUGAAUUGCAGAAUUCAGUGAAUCAUCGAAUCUUUGAACGCACAUUGCGCCCCCUGGUAUUCCGGGGGGCAUGCCUGUUCGAGCGUCAUUUCACCACUCAAGCCUCGCUUGGUAUUGGGCAUCGCGGUCCGCCGCGUGCCUCAAAUCGACCGGCUGGGUCUUCUGUCCCCUAAGCGUUGUGGAAACUAUUCGCUAAAGGGUGUUCGGGAGGCUACGCCGUAAAACAACCCCAUUUCUAAGGUUGACCUCGGAUCAGGUAGGGAUACCCGCUGAACUUAAGCAU
rnacentral:rRNA from 1 species